GCGAGAAAUCUAGCUUAAACAAAUUAACCAACAUAAGACACACCCAUAAAACAAACCAUUUGCCCCGUUAAGUAUGCGCGACAGAAAACCCCCAACAAAGCAACAGAGCAAGUACCGCAAGGAAACGACGAAAGAACAUGAAAAUAAUAAAAGCAAUAAAAAGCAAUGAUUACCCCACGUACCUUUUGCAUCAUGGUUCAGCAAGAAGCCGCAGAUAAAGAGAACUUUAACCUGCCCACCCGAAACCAGACGAGCUACCUUAGGGCAAUUUAAAAGAAUGCACCCGCCUCUGUGGCAAAAGAGGGGGAAGACCUUAAAGUAGAGGCAAAAAACCAACCGAGCCUGGUAAUAGCUGGUUGCUCUAACAAAUGAACUUUAGUUCACCUCUAGGACAAAAUAUAACAUAACAAAGUUCUUCAUAUUACCCUAGAAGAUACUCAGUAAAGGUACAGCCUUACUGACCCAGGAUACAACCUGAAUCGGAGACAUGGGCCAUAUACCUGACCAAUCCCGUAGGCCUUAAAACAGCCACCCCUAACAACCACGUCAAAGUGAAAACCCUCCUAAUUCAAAUCAAAACUACCCCAAGCCCGAUUCCAUAACAGAGCCAUCCUAUGCACAAAUAGGAGCACCAAUGCUGAAACUAGUAAUAAGAGGACCCCUCUCAUCGCACAUCCUUCAAUCAGAACUGGAUAAACCACUGAAAAUUAAACAAGCUAUUCAUAAAGAACUAUAUUUUUUAACAAGCUACUUUAUUACACAAUUUGUGACACCAACACAGGAGUGCCGAAAAGACAGAUUAAAAGCCUUAAAAGGAAUUCAGCUAAUAGACCCCAACUGUUUACCAAAAACAUAGCCUUUAGCCCCGAACAAGUAUUAAAGGUCCCGCCUGCCCAGUGAUCUUAUUUUAACGGCCGCGGUAUCCUAACCGUGCAAAGGUAGCGUAAUCAUUUGUCUCCCAAAUAGAGACUUGUAUGAACGGCUAACUGAGGGCCUAACUGUCUCCUAGGGCUAAUCAAUGAAACUGAUCUUCCAGUACAAAAGCUGAAAUAAACACAUAAGACGAGAAGACCCUGUGGAGCUUUAAACUAAUCCUAUAAAAACAUUUUCCACUAAGGAACAUAUACCUCACCCACUGUAAAUCAAUAGCAAAAGUUUUUAGUUGGGGCGACUUUGGAACAAAACAAAACUUCCAUGCCAGGGACCCCAUCCCUAUUAAGGCCUACAUGCCAAAAUAUAAAUUUUUUUGACCCAGCAUGCCUGAUCAACGAACCAAGUUACCCCAGGGAUAACAGCGCAAUCCUCUUCAAGAGUCCCUAUCGACAAGGGGGUUUACGACCUCGAUGUUGGAUCAGGACACCCCGGUGGUGCAACCGCUACCAAAGGUUCGUUUGUUCAACGAUUAAUAGUCCUACGUGAUCUGAGUUCAGACCGGAGCAAUCCAGGUCGGUUUCUAUCUAUGCACACCUUCUUCAGUACGAAAGGAACAAGAAAGCAAUACCCAUGGUCCAACUACGUAUUGAAUAAAAUGACUGAUUACCACUAAAAUCACCAACCAACCUACCAACCCUAAACCAGGGCAU
rnacentral:rRNA from 1 species